UAUUAUGCUGCACCAGUAUCUCCAGAUGCCGUACCCAGGGAACUAAGCUGCUUUCUAUUUAAAAUUGCAAAGAGCAAUGGAGAGUUCAGGCAAAGGCUAUGCUUAUUCGGACUCUUCCCUGCCACCUUCUGCAGCCCGUGAGGAGCAUGCUGUGCCAGAUGUCAUCAUCACCCACCGCUUGAGGGACCGGGAGCUGCUCCGGAAAAGAAAAGCAAAAGCUGAGGAGAAACAGUCAACUCAGUGGGUUCUGAAGGAGCAGAAGAACAAACGGCAAAGGACAAGCAGAGGAGCCAGGCGAGGACGUGGCCACCUGCCGGCAGUGGAGCCCAUCCUGGAGCCAGAACUGGAGCUGGACCACCAGCUUGGCCCACAGGAGGAGGCUGAGCCAGUGCCCUCCAAGUCAGCAUCACCUGAGCCAGUGCAUCAAGAACAGCUGCCUGUGCUGACCAUCCAGGACCUGGUCAGUGGAAUGCAACAGGGAGCAGUGGAGGGUGAGCUGGCAGCCAGGAGCCAGGAUCCUACGGGUGAAGACGAGGUACUGAAACCAGCAGAAGAAAUACCAGAAGCUUUGAAUACUACUCUGGAAAAUGACCACCAGGAUAACAAAGAGAGCACAUAUGUUCUCUUCUAAUUCUCUUUGGUUUUUUUUCUCUAUGUUUUGACUCCUGCCCAGCAAACACUGAUAAGAACUGGAGAGUGAUUGCUUUUAACCAGCUCCUUCCUUGAGAUGUUGCCUCCACUGUCCCAGAACCCUGCAGGCUCUGCGUCUCAGAUGAGACAUCUCACUGGUGACAUCAGUAACACUGUCUCUCCAGUAACAGGAUGGACAUCAUGGAGACCCACCCCGGUUUUGGUCCCAGAGACAUCACAUGAGAGGUAAGUGCUCACAAGCGCUGAGCACUGCCUUCCCACCCUGAAAUCCUGGGAUGAUCUCUGGAGUUAAACCACCAGAAGCUCUAAAGCACCUGGUGGGUGUCAAAGCAGAAAGCAUCCAGCAGCUCCAUAACCAAGCAAAUGCAGUCCAUUCCCCACAGGCUGGGUCCCCCUGGAGAAAUGGGUUUCCCUAUGCAAGUGUCCUGGCACUGCUUUGGUUUCCAUAGACAUCUCGGCUAACUCAGGGUUGCACUUUCCCCUUGAGUGACUGAUACCAGUGGGAGCAGAGCAAGAUCUCUCACCUUCUGCCAUGAACUACCCAAACCUUGUUCAUAAUCCCAAAUACUUAAGGCAUAACCUGAGGGUCUUGUAGAAGCCCUUUAGCAUGGAGGGAGCUGCAGCCAGGGAGGAUGCUGACCCCAGACCAAGGUACUGGGUGACAGCAGCUGAGGCUGCACUGGCCUGAAGGGGAGCCAGAGGCAGGAAGCCAUGUAAUGGCUGAGCACCAUUACAAAAGCUGUGUUGGGGUCCUCCUGCAAGUGUGGUGUCCACACCACAUUGCAAGGAGGCUGGGCUGUAGGGUCUGCUGCUGCCAGGCAGGCCAGGAGACCCUUCUGCCUGGCAGAGCUCCACACGUGCCGUGGCAGAGGCCAGCAAGAGCUGAUGGCUCUUUCCAGUUCUCUAACCUGCUGCAGUACUCACAGGGAGGAUGAAUCAGCCAUGCUGCCCACCUCCAUGUCUGCAGACAUUUAGGCUCUCCUGGCUCCCAGAGCUCUGUAGAUUCUGGGGAGAAGCAACUUCUGGGAGGCUUUAGACUCAUCUCACAGACCCUGUCAGUCAAAAAGGGCACAAAACAACCACAUGUCCCCUUCUCUGUUGGUCAAGUGGAACUGUCAGAGGUGGCAAAGGCCUGGCAGGGCGGGACAUCUGUGAACAUGGGCAGCGCUUAUUGCUGAAGCACACAUGGGCAGUGGUGCCGAUCUUGCACUGAGAGGACUGGGGAACUCCCCGUGGGCAGAGGCUCAUGGAAACCAGAGAAAUCACCUCUGUCCAUCCCUGCAGAGAUGCCUUUGGUGGCUGCGAGGUCCUGAAGUCACCCUGGGACAGCACGCUCUGCCUUAGAGCUUCUCUCACUCUCACUGGCUUCCCUGGCAGCCAGCAAGAAAGGUGUACCUACAAGCAACAAAUCUUAUUGCAAAAUAGCCAAGGGAAAGAUAAACCCUCCUUAUCAGCACUUUCACUCACAACCCACUGUUUCUUUCUCUGACAAGAGGACAGAUAACAGAGCUGUUGCUUAUAUGGAUGGGGUUCAGGUGCAAAGCUGGACACAUGGGGGUCCAUGUGCAUCCCUGAUGUAUGUCCUGCUGUCUGAAUGGAGCUGGGGACUGGCUGGCAAGGGUGACUGUACCUAGGGGAGGGAAGCUGCUGUUUUGAAGAUGCAAUGCACCACCUUCUCCCUCCCUUCCCCUCUUCCUGAGCCCCAGGGAGAUAUCUUUACCCAGAGACAUUAACAGAGUAUCCAAUAAAGGAAAUUUUCACCCUCUGAGAUGACAAGUAGGGUCUGGGUCUGACAUGAAGGGGAAGACUGGGGGAGGUCAGAGACCUUUAACUGACUGUAGCCUUCCUGGUAAUAAAGAGUGGGUGAUGGGUGCAGGGAGAUGGCUUCUGAGCUAUGGGGCCAGCACAGGGAGCUGGGUCAGUGCCCAACACAAUGUGCUCCUCCUUGCUGUGCUGUGCUGGUGAAAGGGCUGUGUGAGGCUCUUCUGGGACACUCUGACCUGCUCCCUGAGCCACACAUACCAAGGCAGACAUGCUGUGAUAUGCAGUGGGUAUGACCACUAUGACUGUCUCCUCACUCGUGAGAUGCAGCUUGGUGUUUGUUAAUGUCAACUGGACUGGGCUGACCAUGCUGCUGUGAGCUCAUCUCAGUGCCACAGGUCCUGUCCCCUUGUUCUGCAGAGUGUGGCAAGCUAUCCUGAGGGCUGACAGAGAUGACAGAACAGCUGAGGAAAGGGAAGCUGGUGUCACAUCCAAGAGAACCAGACUCCCCUCUGUCCACUGCCAAUUACCUCUCAAUAACCUUCAAGGAAACAUGCUUCCAGCUCUAUGGCUGAAGAGAGGUUGGCUCGUUUGUGCACCCUGGCUUCCUGCUUCUGAAAUGGCCCGUGUGAAAUGGGGUCCUCCACAUUUGCAGAUAGGGGUGAUUUGUGGCAGACUGUUGCUCAAGGGUGAUGUUUUGAACAGGGAGGGUUUUCUGGUCCUUUGCAGAAGUGAAGCCAUAGCUAAGCCUAAGCAGAAAGAAGUGGGCCAGCAGCUUAGAGCCAGAGCCCAUCAGAGAUCAACAAAAAGUCAUUCCACACCACAAGAGCCUGGUCUUGCAGAGAUACGAACACUUUCUGGUUCAUUUACCAAAAUUGACUUUAAGCAGUAAAUCCUGGUGACAGCAAAUACACACUCCCUUUUCAGCUACUGUUUCCUGCUCAGAGUAUGUUAGCUGUAAUCCUUCCUGUUCUGUGUUCACCGUAUAAAUAAAUACCAGUCUAAUACUGCCAGGGCUGCCAUGGACUCCAGCUGUGCUCCACUGGCUGGCCUGGCUCUUCCUGUUUCACCAGGAAAUGACAUAACUGUAGAAAAAGUUAAGUGGGAAGAGAUGUCUGGAGAUCUUGAAUCCGACCCCUCUCAAAGCACGGAUAACUCUGAACAGACUGCUUAGGGCUUUUUCCAACGAAGUGUUGACCUCCUCCAAGAUUGGAGAUCCCCACCUCUAGUCCCCACCACAGGGCUGCCCCACUCUCAUGGGAAGAAUGUCUUUCCUUAUGUCCAACCAGACUUCCCUUCAUCACAGCUUUUGCUUCUUGCCUCUUGCCCCAUCACGGUGCACUUCAGAGAAGACCCCAGCUCCAUCUUCUCUGUAACCCUCUCAGGACCACAAGUUAAGACUCCAUGCUUGCCUUCUCUUUUCCAGGUGAACAGAUGCAGUUCCCUCAGCCUUCUAUGCUCCAGCUCCCUAUCUUAUUGGCCUCCAGCUGGCUAGGGUCCAGUGUAACAAUGUACUGGGUUACACUAACUGGAUCCAGUAUUCCAGGUGUGGGCUUAUCCACAUCAAGCAGGGGGAAUGGCCACUGGCCUCACCACACUGGCUGAAACUCAGUCCUUCUGGAUGGACGUGGGUCUUUCAGCAUGGUUGUGCCUUUGUCUCCCUCAGGCUGCCUGAGGUUUUUGCCAAUGAAAUGCAGAAAAUGCAGAGCAAAGAAACGAGGGCAUGGCUUGUGUGGUAAACAGUGGGAUCUGAGCUUCAUAGCCUUAAUAACGAUUCUUUUUUCAACACUCUCCGUACACGCUAUCUUCCAAGAAAUUUGCAAAAGUACUAAAUGUUGAGUGCAGAAUUACAUGCCCCUGGAAAUUACUGCUUAUUUGUUGGAAUGUUUAACUGCAGACCGAAAGUGCAGCUCUAGCACUGCGUUUUUACAGCUGAGCGUUACAUUCUGCGCAAGAGGCAGCCACCAGUUUUCAGGCUCUCAAAGAAGUAGCUUUGCAUUUCCCGCGGGAAACACCUUGAUCACUGACCCAGAGGGUGGCCUCCGGAGCCCAGCGCUCCGCUCCGAGGGGCUGCCCGCGCAGCCGGCGCCCGCUGAGCCCCCCCGGGAAGCACCGACGCCGCAGCGGCAGCGGCCGCCGGCGCCCGGCGCGGGCUCCCGCAGGCUCGCACAGCGCUGGAAACCCGCCUCGGCCCGCGGUCCGGCAGCGCUCUCUAGCGGCAGCGCCGGCCCCGCGUCCCCCGGGGCGCCCCGGGGCGGGGGGGGGGUUGCACCGCCACGCAGCGUGGCGUCUGCCCGGUGGGGCUCGGGGGGCGGCCGCAGGGCCCUGUGCUGGUGCUCCGGGCGCUGUGAGACCUGCCACACGCUGCUGCUGCCGCAGGAGCGGCAGUGCCGUUUGCAGGAAUGAAGCGUGAAGUGACUUCCUGGCCCGCUGGAAAUGACCACGCUCUCUCCUCCUGGCUGUGGAAGAGUCCUGUGUGUGGCUUGGCCGGCGAGAUCUCACUCGGGUUGUCAACAGCAGGGAUGUGGCGACUCUUAGAGCGAGACAUAGCUGAUCACUGAUCAGCAGAAAAUCCACGCUAAGAGUUGAGGUGCUGAAAUUUCCACUGCCUCUCCAUGUUUCCCCAGCCUCCAGCCCAGCUCCCAGCCUCUGUCCCACAGCAAGGACUCUGGCUUGGUGCCAGUGGACACAACACCAGCAGAGGAACCCCCUCCCGGGGCUGUAUCUGUCUCACUUACACCUCCAAGACCUGCCCACUGGCAGCACAGGAGACCGAGCCACAAUAGAUGUAGAGCCCUGAGACACCACAGAAAGAAAAACAAACUUCACACACCUCAGGAGACAGUCCUCUCCCAGCCACUGGUGUGGGGGCUCUUGGUUGUGAUGGUCAACACCGUGAGUCCCAGCCUAUCGGAGUGGUCAGUCACUCAUUGCUGCAGGAGUGCAAGCCCACGUUAUUCAAGAAAAGGCAAUUUUAGAGAAAACAAGGAGAACGGAAAAAGAACCCCAAUUUGGGAACCACUGAAAAACAAUAUACACACAGAAAUAAACUUAAGUGAACUCCAAGACUGAGAAGGAAGAAAUCAUCACCAUCAACACCAUGUGCCUUCUGAUGAAGAGGAUGAAACCUUUACCAGGAACAUUAUGAUCUGCCUAUUAAAGACAUUAGGAUCCUUGUUACUUGUUCUAAGACCCCCUCCCCACCACCCUCGCAGUCAUCAACCUCAGGACACAGGAAGGGUGAACAUAACAUCAAGAAGAAUUUGUGUGUGUGCGUGCAUAGCAAUCUCAGCUGUGUUACUGAGGUUUGUUUGUAUUAAUUUGGAUUAUGAGACUAAUAAUUGAAAAUAUAUUGUUAAAACCUCUGCACAUA